rnacentral:rRNA from 1 species
CAUGCAAGUCGAGCGAGAAGCUAACUUCGGUUAGUGGACAGCGGCGCACGGGUGAGUAACGCGUGGGAAUUUACCUUUCGGCGGGGGACAACAGUUGGAAACGACUGCUAAUACCGCAUACGCCCUACGGGGGAAAGAUUUGUCACCGAAAGAUAGGCCCGCGUUAGAUUAGGUAGUUGGUAGGGUCAAAGCCUACCAAGCCGACGAUCUGUAGCUGGUUUGAGAGAACGAUCAGCCACACUGGAACUGAGACACGGUCCAGACUCCUACGGGAGGCAGCAGUGGGGAAUCUUGCACAAUGGGCGAAAGCCUGAUGCAGCCAUGCCGCGUGAGUGAGAAGGCCUUCGGGUUGUAAAACUCUUUUAGAUGUGAAGAUGAUGACGGUAACAUCAGAAAAAGCACCGGCUAACUUCGUGCCAGCAGCCGCGGUAAUACGAAGGGUGCUAGCGUUGUUCGGAAUUACUGGGCGUAAAGAGCGUGUAGGCGGCUUAGCAAGUUAGAGGUGAAAUCCCAGGGCUCAACCCUGGAACUGCCUUUGAUACUGCUAGGCUUGAGAUCGUGAGGGGAUAGCGGAAUACCCAGUGUAGAGGUGAAAUUCGU